AAUAAGGAUCCAAACUUGCCCUGUUCCACAGGGGAGGCUGUGCGGUGCUUCACACUUCCGUUUCCUAUGAAACUAAAUACAGCCAAACCAUUAGGCACUGAUUGAGAAAGUUAGCCUGUGCAUCACCUUCUGAUGCUAUGGAGACUACCCACCAGGAGAAAGCUUGCAGUUCAGUUCCAGGUUGCUCCAUUUUGCAAUCACGGGUCUGGAUUACUUUGCAUUAUCAAUGUUGACAAUUUCAUGAAUUUUUGUUGCUGUGAUGGAGUCAGACUGUACAUAAAUCUAUCUGUAAAGUGGCAGCUGGACGGAUGCUGUGUGACAGCCAUCACACAGAAGAGAAUGUAACUCACUGACUGCGAGCAGCCAUCCCAGCUCAGGAGCACAGAGCCUCCCUCACAGGUACACUUUAGAAAAGGGUUGUAGAAAACCAACUCCCAAAGCAGAUUCCCAGGCUGAGUCUGGGUAGUUAUUUUUACCUCCUCCUUUCAUCUCAUGAGGAUGUCGCUGAAGCCCUGUUGUGUUACCACAAUCUUGGUCUCCACUUCUUACGAGCAUUAUAACCUCACCAAUUCAUAAGCUCACAUUAAAAUUUCUGAAUCGAAA